UAAAAUAGUCUCGUAGUCGCAUAGUCUCGUGUUAUACUCAUCGUUCGUUCUAAUCACAUACUUUUACUAAUCAUACAGUAUACUUUGCUAUUUUAAAAUUUGCGAGUACCCAGCAACUCGUGUGAAGCGUACUUUCUGACCAACCGACGAACGAAGCGUAUCAAAGCUUUCUGCGAUCGA